CCUACGGGAGGCAGCAGUGGGGAAUAUUGGACAAUGGGCGCAAGCCUGAUCCAGCCACGCCGCGUGAGUGAUGAAGGCCUUAGGGUUGUAAAGCUCUUUUGUCCGGGACGAUAAUGACGGUACGGGAAGAAUAAGCCCCGGCUAACUUCGUGCCAGCAGCCGCGGUAAU
rnacentral:rRNA from 1 species